GAUAGCUAUGAAGCGUGAGGUUGCUGCUGAGUAAAUCAGCAGGUUUUCCGUGGAGCGAAUGUCAAGUUACUAAAACUGACGACAA
rnacentral:ncRNA from 1 species